rnacentral:rRNA from 1 species
GACGAACGCUGGCGGCGUGCCUAAUACAUGCAAGUCGAGCGAAGUUUUUCUGGUGCUUGCACUAGAAAAACUUAGCGGCGAACGGGUGAGUAACACGUAAAGAACCUGCCUCAUAGACUGGGACAACUAUUGGAAACGAUAGCUAAUACCGGAUAACAGUAUUUCUCGCAUGAGAGAUAUUUAAAAGUUGGUUAUGCUAACACUAUGAGAUGGCUUUGCGGUGCAUUAGCUAGUUGGUGGGGUAAAGGCCCACCAAGGCGACGAUGCAUAGCCGACCUGAGAGGGUGAUCGGCCACACUGGGACUGAGACACGGCCCAGACUCCUACGGGAGGCAGCAGUAGGGAAUCUUCCGCAAUGGGCGAAAGCCUGACGGAGCAACGCCGCGUGAGUGAAGAAGGAUUUCGGUUCGUAAAGCUCUGUUGUUAGGGAAGAAUGGAUAUGUAGUAACUAUACAUGUAAGAGACGGUACCUAACCAGAAAGCCACGGCUAACUACGUGCCAGCAGCCGCGGUAAUACGUAGGUGGCAAGCGUUGUCCGGAAUUAUUGGGCGUAAAGCGCGCGCAGGUGGUUUAAUAAUUCUGAUGUGAAAGCCCACGGCUCAACCGUGGAGGGUCAUUGGAAACUGUUAAACUUGAGUGCAGGAGAGAAAGUGGAAUUCCUAGUGGUAGCGUUGAAAUGCGUAGAGAUUAGGAGGAACACCAGUGUCGAAUGCGGCUUUUUUGGUCUGUACUGACACUGAGGCGCGAAGCGGUGGGAGCAACAGGAUUAUAUACCCUGGUGUCCAAGGGCGAAUUCCACAGUGGGAUAUCAGCUUAUCGAUACGCUCGGCCCGACGGGGGGCCCUGGUCCCAUCUAUUGUUCCCUUUAUGGGUGUGUUUAGUG